rnacentral:rRNA from 1 species
UACAGAGGGGGCAAGCGUUGUUCGGAAUUACUGGGCGUAAAGGGCUCGUAGGCGGCCAAGCAGGUCCGCUGUGAAAACUCGAGGCUCAACCUCGAGACGUCGGUGGAAACCGUUUGGCUAGAGUCCGGAAGAGGAGAGUGGAAUUCCCGGUGUAGCGGUGAAAUGCGCAGAUAUCGGGAAGAACACCCGUGGCGAAGGCGGUUCUCUGGGACGGUACUGACGCUGAGACGCGAAAGCGUGGGGAGCGAACAGG